AUGGUUUCGGCUAUCGCUUACAGAUGGGCCCGCGGUGCAUUAGCUAGUUGGUAGGGUAAUGGCCUACCAAGGCAACGAUGCAUAGCCGACCUGAGAGGGUGAUCGGCCACACUGGGACUGAGACACGGCCCAGACUCCUACGGGAGGCAGCAGUAGGGAAUCUUCCGCAAUGGACGAAAGUCUGACGGAGCAACGCCGCGUGUAUGAAGAAGGUUUUCGGAUCGUAAAGUACUGUUGUUAGAGAAGAACAAGGAUAAGAGUAACUGCUUGUCCCUUGACGGUAUCUAACCAGAAAGCCACGGCUAACUACGUGCCAGCAGCCGCGGUAAUACGUAGGUGGCAAGCGUUGUCCGGAUUUAUUGGGCGUAAAGCGCGCGCAGGCGGUCUUUUAAGUCUGAUGUGAAAGCCCCCGGCUUAACCGGGGAGGGUCAUUGGAAACUGGAAGACUGGAGUGCAGAAGAGGAGAGUGGAAUUCCACGUGUAGCGGUGAAAUGCGUAGAUAUGUGGAGGAACACCA
rnacentral:rRNA from 1 species